UAAACUUAGAUUUAAGAUGAUUCACGCCGGAUUGAGAAAAAAAUGAAUUUAUUUUAAUUCCAACAAAGACGAUUUACAAAAAUAUAUUUUGUAAAUUUAGUUAUUAAAUUUAUGUGCGUCGCAUAUUUAUUUAAUUUAGCAUUCAAGCAUUUUCAUGAGCUAUUUAUUUAAGCAAACACUGAACGAUUAUUACCGUUUUCAUACUACAACCCGAAAGAUUUUUAUUUUAUUACUCCCACCUACUCCUACACCCACUUACUCCAUCAACAUCACCACCCACUUCCACCACCAACAUCACCAUCAAUCCCCUGCACUAUACCUCAAGCACACCUCAUUCAUCACUAAUAAUUUCAAUCAUGCUUUCCACUUCAUCUCACACACGAUUCAUUCCCGAGUUUACCAAAUUAUCUCUCUCAAGAAAAAGCUCAAUCUUAGACAAAAGAAACAACAGCAACAUUCAACCAAAGUUGGAAUUCAUAGAAGCCUUUAAGCUCCAAGAGUAGUAUCAAAGUAAGGGAGAGCGUGGGAAACCUAGGGCGUAAGUUAGAGUGAAGAUUGUGCUUCGAGGGCUUUGUGAUGACCAGGAGGAUUAGCGCUACUUUUCCAAGACAGGUUUAUAUGUGUAUGAUCUUCAGGCUUUGCCUAUCCAGGUUGGCUGGCCGGUGCUGACGGGACGGAGCUGAGGCUAGAGUUAAAUUCCUAUUUUAGAAUUCCGCUGUAGCAAUUACUCAUAUCAGUCUUUUAUUUUCCCAACUUAAAAUCUUCAUGUUAAAUUUCAAAUGAUAUAUUUGACCGAGUUUAGACUCUUCACUACUAAAUUUAUGCUAAUGAAUGUCAGUUGUCAGAAGCAUGAAACAAAACUUGUGAUCCAAAGGGGCAUAGCCCGACUUUCUAUCCUAUUUCGGGUUUUAACAAGGUUUUUCCCUUGUUUAUUUCUAUGAAUUAUUCACACCUCGAUUAUAUUUAUUCUUUCAAGAAUUGGGGUGUGACAGAAUGGUAUCAGAGCAUGAGUUUUCUUUCAUGUUUCUGAUAACCAUAAGCUUUUGAUGUCGAGUCUAGAAUAGUAUCUCUAGACUUCUAAGAAUGUCAGUAGCCCUCAGCUCGCCGUCACACUGCCGCAACAAAGGUACGAUAAUAGUUUCAAAAAUAUACGUAUAUGUAUUUCAGAUAUUAUGAAAGUUUUCAAGAGAAUGUGCGCCUUAUGUUUAUGAUACUAUGUGAAUUGCUUAUCGCUUUCCAUAUGUUAUAAGUUAUGAAUUGCUAAUCGCUUUCAUAUUGUUAUCUUGGGUCUCCGAUUCAUAUAACCAAGCUCAGUAUCGUGUUUGGGACAACCCGAGCCCUUAACGAUAAGAUAAGUAAGUAUCGUGUUUGGGACAACCCGAGCCCUUAACGAUAAGAUAAGUAAGUAUCGUGUUUGGGACUACCCGAACCCUUAACGAUAAGAUCAGUUAAAGUCGUGUUCAGGACUAUUGAGCCUUUCACGAAUACCAGAUGUAUUGUCGAGUUAGAUUCUUUGAAUCUUUCCGGCACCAGCAAAGUUUUCAUGAAAGGGACUUUAAAUGUCCAUAUAUGUUAAGGUUUCAAAAGAAACAGAAGUAUGUAUGUAUGUAUGAAUGAAUGAAAAAGCUUUAUGUUGUCGUUUUAGGCUAGCUGCCUAUACGAUUAGAAUGAUAGGUCCUCUUACAAACCGUUUGAGUACCACCCAAGAAUGCUUUGAGAACGUUAAUCGUGAUAGCACUGCUUGAUCGAUUUAAGUAAAGACUGAUAAGAUAGAAAUGUUUUAACAUAGAGAUGUUACAACAUAGAGGCACUGCCUUAAGACUAAGGAUUCACUUGAGCUAUUUCAAUAGCGGUGAGAUUAAGUUUUUCACAUAAGAACUUAUGUUGCUUAUGAUUAUGAUGUUAGUCGUAAUAGCUUGGCUAGAACGACAUAGAAUGGACUUUCAUGGUAUCAGUAACUUAUGAUGAAGUACUUAUUAGUAAGUGUUUUAAGUUAGAAGUUUGACCAGAGCCUUACAUGAAUUAGAAGUUGACAUGAUUGGGGGCGAAACUCCCAUUUGACUGAGUGAUUCGUUUUGUUGGGUCUGGCCAGCCCACAUGACUAAGAUCUCGGUGGUUGUCAAUUAAGAUUUUUGAUCUCGAGGUAGAGCAUCACUACAAUAUAUAGACUCGCACUAUAUAGUUGUCACAAUAGAAUAUCUUUUUAUCACGAUAAGUAUAGUAGCGAUUAGAAUUACUCAGUUUAUCAUUAGUUUUCAACCAGCUGUCAAUAUGUGGUCCACAUGGUGGACAAUAAUAAGAAAUGUGUAAUGGAGUUCGUAAAUGAAUCGCGGCAUGAGAUUUUCAAUUCCCCUAGUAAACUAGGGAGAUAUUAUGAAGGAACAAGCAAUGAACGAGACUCUCACCACCGAGUCACUACAACAAAUGGAGAAGUAAAAAGUUCACGCACAAACAAGAUAUGUACACCACUUCAAGAUGGAGGUAAAGAAAAAGGAAAUGGAAUGAAAGAAAUAGAGGAAACCCUUAAAUGGAAGGAAAGCACUAGAACUAAACUUAAGGAAUAACCGAACCCCAAGGCUAGUAGGCUCAAGCUAAGAGAGUGAAUGCUUUGGCUAAAAUGCCGGAAGCUACAACAAGAAUAAAGUUGGAACGCCACCACAAUGGAAACUUAGAAACCCCCAUUUAAUAACCAUUUGGAAAUGGGAAAAUGAGUUUACAUGGCAGAAGGAGUGCCAUUAAUCCUCGAAGUGAAAGUUACGGAGACGAUGAGAAAAGUUUGAUGUUAGAAUUCCCUAGUCAAUCUGAGAAGAUCACUUAGGACGAAGGAAACAAUUAAGGAAGUUCAACUGAUUUGAGAGUACAAAGAUAUUUUUCCCAAUGAAUUACCAAAUUUUCACCAGACCUAGUUUCAUGCAACAUAGUAUGUCACUAUGGGUAGCACUAAUUAAAGAUGUCAAAGAAAAGAUGAUAUACUAAGGAUGUGUAUUGAUUAUAAGAAGUUGAAGCAAGCUCAUAAGAAUAGAUAUCCUCUUCCGAGGAUAGACGACCUGUUAAAUCAGUUGAGAGGAGCUGGUGUGUUUUCCAAGAUUGACCUAAGAUCUGAUUACCACCAACUCAGGAUGAAAAGAGAAGACAUUCCAAAUACAGCGUUUCGAACGCGUUAUGGACUUUACGAGUUCACAGUGAUGCCCUUAGAUUUAACGAAUGCCCCAGCAGUUUUCAUGGACCUAAUGAAUAGAGUUUUCCAUCAGUAUCUCGAUAGUUUUGUCUUAGUGUUUAUCGACGACAUCCUCGUAUACUCUAAGACCGAAGAACAACAUGAAGAGCACUUACGCAUCGUACUCAAAACCCUGCGCAAUGAGAAUUGGUUUACCAAAUUCAACAAGUGUGAAUUUUGGUUAAAGGAAGUUAUGUUUCUCAGUCACAUAGUGUCGACUGAAAGAAUCAAAGUAGACCCCGCCAAGGUCGAAGCAGUCAAGGAAUGGAAGGCACCAUCAAAUGUCAAUAAGAUCAGAAGUUUUCUCGGACCAGCAGGUUACAAUAUAAGGUUCAUCGAAAGAUUCUCGAAAUUGGCUAGGCCAAUGACUCGACUUUUAAGAAAAGGGACUAAGUAUGUUUGGUCCGAAGCUUGUGAACAAAGUUUUAAGUAGCUCAAGACUAGGCUGACUACUGCACCAGUGUUAGCAAUACCAGAAGAGAAUGAAGAAUUUGAGGUGUACACUGAAGCCUCGAAACUAGGAUUGGGUUGCGUGUUGAUGCAAAAUCAGAAAGUGAUAGCAUAUACGUCUCGUCAUUUGAAGCCCCAUGAGCUGAACUACCCGAUUCAUGAAUUAGAACUAGCAGCCGUUGUGCACGCGCUGAAGAUUUGGAGACACUACCUCUAUGGAGUUAAGUGUAAGAUCUUUACAGAUCAUAAGAGUUUAAAGUACUUUUUCGAGCAAAAAGGAUUUAAACAUGAGACAACGAAGAUGGCUCGAAUUAGUAAAGGAUUACGAUUGCACCAUCAGUUACCAUCCAGGAAAAGCGAAUGUAGUAGCUGACGCCCUGAGUCGAAAGACGAAGGCUAAGCUAGGGUAUUUUAUUACCCAACAGAAGGAGCUGAUUCGUGAGUUCGCCUCACUCAGUUUAGAGAUUGUUUAUUUCCCAGAUUCAGUAUCGGGUUGUGUAGCUGCGCUGACAGCUAAACCUGAUUUAAGAGAAAGAAUUGUGCAAGCACAAAGAGAAGAUUGGUUCUUGGAGAAGAUGUGUCUCGCUGCAAGAACGAAUGAAAUGAAAAGAUUAACUGAAGCAAAGGAUAAUACACUUAUGGUUGGUGAAAGAUUGUGUGUGCCGCACAAUGAAGAGUUAAAGAACGAGAUUAUGAGCGAGGCUCAUGAUACUCCAUACACUGCACACCCACGCAGUACAAAGAUGCACCAGAAUUUAAAGAAAAUUUUCUGAUGAACAGGAAUGAAAAGAGAUAUAACGUUGUAGUGGGUCGAUUAUCAAAGUUAGCGCGAUUUCUACCAAUUCAAAUGACAUUUGGAUUGGUGAAACUUGCAAAGUUAUAUGUCAAAGAGAUAGUACGCCUUCACGGUGUACCUGUAUCUAUCACGCCAGAUCGUGACACCAGAUUCACAUCGUUUCUGGAAAAGUUUACAAGAAGCCAUGGGCACUCAGCUGAACUUCAGCACAGCGUACCACCCUCAGACUGACGGGCAGUCAAAAAGAACGAUUCAGAUCCUAGAAGUUAUGCUGCAAACGAUUGUCGCAGACAAAGGUGGAAGUUGGGAGGAUUUGUUACCUCUCGUAGAAUUUGCUUAUAACAAACAGUUAUCAAGCAACAUUUGGAAUAAUCCAGAUAAGGCCUCGUAUGGCCGAAAAUGUAGUUCACCACUUUACUAAGAUGAAGUGGGUGAAAGAAAGUUGUUAGGUUCUGAACUGGUCCAACAGAUGGUUGAGAAGGUCGACCACAUUAAGCAAAUAAUUAAAGAAGUUCAAGAUAGACAAAAGUCUUACGCCGAUAAACGCCGAUCGGAGUUAGAAUUUAAUGUUGGGGGAUCGAGUUUUCCUCAAAGUCUCUCCCUCAAAGGGAGUUAUACGUUUCAGAAAGUUAUAUAAGACCUUUUGAGUCCUAGAUAAGUUAGGCCUUUGUAGCCUAUAAGUUGGCUCUGCCACCUAGCAUUGUGGAUGUAUGCAAUACGUAUAGCAUCUCGCAAUUAAGAAAGUAUGUGUUUGAUCCAAAGCAUGUGAUUAAGCACGAUAAAGGAGUCCUAGCCAGGACCUAAGUUAUGAAGAGAAAUCAGUCCAGAUACUUGAUCGCAAGGUUCAAGUUUUACGAGGCAAUAAUAUUGUUCUCGUCAUGUAGUGGAACCAUCACAGGAUGGAAAAUGCCACAAAAGAGAUGAAUGAAAUGAAAGACUAGUAUCCCAAGCUAGAAUACCAGAUAUGUAAUUUCGAGGACGAAAUUUUUUUUAAGGAGGGAGGGAUGUAAUACCCCGUUUCCUCGAGCUAAGUCUAGAAUAAUUUUUAAUUUAGAAUUUAUUUUAAACUUAGAUUUAAGAUGAUUCACGCCGGAUUGAGAAAAAAAUGAAUUUAUUUUAAUUCCAACAAAGACGAUUUACAAAAAUAUAUUUUGUAAAUUUAGUUAUUAAAUUUAUGUGCGUCGCAUAUUUAUUUAAUUUAGCAUUCAAGCAUUUUCAUGAGCUAUUUAUUUAAGCAAACACUGAACGAUUAUUACCGUUUUCAUACUACAACCCGAAAGAUUUUUAUUUUAUUACUCCCACCUACUCCUACACCCACUUACUCCAUCAACAUCACCACCCACUUCCACCACCAACAUCACCAUCAAUCCCCUGCACUAUACCUCAAGCACACCUCAUUCAUCACUAAUAAUUUCAAUCAUGCUUUCCACUUCAUCUCACACACGAUUCAUUCCCGAGUUUACCAAAUUAUCUCUCUCAAGAAAAAGCUCAAUCUUAGACAAAAGAAACAACAGCAACAUUCAACCAAAGUUGGAAUUCAUAGAAGCCUUUAAGCUCCAAGAGUAGUAUCAAAGUAAGGGAGAGCGUGGGAAACCUAGGGCGUAAGUUAGAGUGAAGAUUGUGCUUCGAGGGCUUUGUGAUGACCAGGAGGAUUAGCGCUACUUUUCCAAGACAGGUUUAUAUGUGUAUGAUCUUCAGGCUUUGCCUAUCCAGGUUGGCUGGCCGGUGCUGACGGGACGGAGCUGAGGCUAGAGUUAAAUUCCUAUUUUAGAAUUCCGCUGUAGCAAUUACUCAUAUCAGUCUUUUAUUUUCUCAACUUAAAAUCUUCAUGUUAAAUUUCAAAUGAUAUAUUUGACCGAGUUUAGACUCUUCACUACUAAAUUUAUGCUAAUGAAUGUCAGUUGUCAGAAGCAUGAAACAAAACUUGUGAUCCAAAGGGGCAUAGCCCGACUUUCUAUCCUAUUUCGGGUUUUAACAAGGUUUUUCCCUUGUUUAUUUCUAUGAAUUAUUCACACCUCGAUUAUAUUUA